UGGAAGUAGAAUUGACUUCAAGUUUUCAUGGUUUGUUGUUGCUGGUGGCGGUGGUGGUGGUGGGGUGUGUGUGUGUGUGUGUGUGUGUGUAAGUGAGCAAAAGUUGAGCUGAUGAGAAUUUGGCCCAUAUGGUUUAUUGUUUCUAGAAUGGAUCAGUUUCAUCCCAGUGCCUGGGCAAUUUUGUUGCACAUUAAUGUGAAAUAUUGUAAAUGUUUUUACCAAGCUAUCAACUAUGAAAUACUUUAUCCAAAACAUUAUGAUUACAAAGGCGAUAAUAGAAACAGCUUAAACCAGGAGAAAAUGCUCUGUUAAAGAGGAUUAGAAAGACCAUUUAUUGAAUAGUAUGGAUUUCUUCCAAGCCCCUGUGUGCAGAAAGCAUGCAAUGCGUGAAUAAUUCAUCUAGAAAUUCUAUCGUGAAGUUGUAUCAGUUUCCACAGUAAAACCUGGCCAUGGAGGAGGAAAAUACAUCAACAUCUGUGACAAGCUCUAUGAGGAGACAGUGGCAAAGCCUUUCAGGCACCAGGAGCAAAGCAAAAUAUAAUAAAUUCACUUAAGUGUCAAAUUUGUGUCGGCUAAAUAAUGACACCAUAUGUCUGGGUUGCUAUGUCACCAUAGGCUGCUCUGAAAAAACACAUUGCUUUAUAGAAAUGGCUGUCAGCUCAGGGAAGAAAGCUUGCGGGCUACUGCCUUUCUAUCAAAGAAAACAGAGAUUGCCCAAUGAAUGCAGCAUCCAAUGAUCAAUACAAUGAUUGUUGUUAUUGUGUUGUUUUUUCUUAAUAUGUCAGCAGUUAGAGUGAGCCUGCUGUUUAGACUUAGACAUGUAUAGUUAGAGAGGCUGUCUUAGUUGCACUGUCCUUCAACUGAGUUGGGGUAAGGCUUUGAAAUCCCCGACAGUGGGCCUGCUGCAUGGGCGUUAAUGAUGCAACUUGUCUUUAUAUGGUUUUCUGAGGAACUCUCCUCAGGGCACUUCGUAGACACUAUCUCAUUACUCUUCACAGCACCCCCAGGAGGAAUCCAGGACUCUGACAUUAUUUUCCUCCAGGGUAACUGAGGCAUAGAAAGAUUAUGGUCACAUUAGCCCAUAGGAGGCAUGAUUCUGCCGCCCACUCAGCGUUUCUUGCUCCAGGCAGUCAGUAUUCAAGCAGGCAUGCAGACAGUCUUUAUAGGAAGGAGGAUUUGCCUUGUCUCCUGGGCAUUUCUCUCCUUUCUGCUGGCAUGCAUAGUGCUGGCUGGGUGCCUGCUUCAUGGCUGCUUCACCACUCCAAAGGCACAGUACCUAGGUUCAGCUGCCCUGUGAGUGGUCAUCCCGCAGAUUGCGCACUGUGAUGCUGGUUCCAGAGGCUUCAUGCUUGCAUACAGGCCCCAUGGCAGGCUGAUCAUGUCGUGUGUAACUGCUCUGAACAGGCUGGGACUCUGGAGAGCACCUGUCUGCCAUGCAAAGGAAUCAGUAACCCUGUCUCAGCUUCACACAGCCAGCCUUGACUGUGCCUCAGUUUUUCAUCACAAUUAGUCCAAUGGUACUUAAAAGAGAUUGUGGCAAAGAUAAAUCAUGUGGGAGGGGUUAUGUUUAACUUUAAUCACAAAGGUAUAGGUAAGAGCUAGGAAAUUGUGCAAAUGGAUCUAUUAUAAGGAAAAUUGCCUUCCGUAUAUAUUAGUUGUUCAUGACAGCCUUCCAAAGAAUUUAAAAACCCUAAAUUAACUUCUAAACAAUAACCAUUUUAGGAGUGGUUCCAACAGAAUGGUGCAUAUCUGAAUCAUUUGGAGAGUUUUGUGUGUGCACACAGGCAUGCCCUCAGACAUACUGAGUCAUUGGAUCCGGAGUAUAGCCUGGGAGUAGAGAUUCUAAAACCCCAGGUGAAUCUGAUGUGAAGUCAAUGAUUCUUCAGAAGGCUGCACAGGCCCUAGUUUCUCUCCUUCUGACACUGGGAAGUAUAAAACAUCAAGUGCAAAGUGAAACAGAUAAAAAAGAAUUGUGGUUUCCUGACCUGACAGAGGUGUUUUCCAUUCAGCAGUGUAAUAUUAGGAAAUGGAGAAGAUCAUAUAAAUGCCGCAGUUCAGACUGAAUCUGAAAAAUGGAGUUUGAAACAUGUAAAAGAAGUCUGGGGCAACCAUAACCAGGAUGUUUCUGAUUGACACCUACUCCCUCAUCCUAGUCCCAUCUGAGUUUGUGGUAAGUAAUACCUUUCUCUGUUGGCUGUUUUAGCUUUCCUUGAAACCAGUCAAAGGACAGAGGUUAUUCAGUUGAAAGAUGGCCACAAAUUCACAGGUAAAGUCUGUUUCUCCACUCCUUUGAACUUGGGCUGAGCUGGUGACUGCUUUGAUUAGUGGAACACAGGGAAGUGAUGCUGUGUCAGUUUUUGGCCUAAGCUUUUGGGAAUACUGGCUGCAUAUGCUUCUCCUCUCUUAGAACACUAGCUCUGAGUUUGCUUCCUCUUGAAACCCAGCUGCCAAGCUAAUAAGUGCACGAAUCACAUAGAGAGCUUGUUUUCAGGCAUUUUGUUCAACAGUCUCAGCUAAGUUCCUGGCCAAGAGCCAAUAUCAACUGUCAGGCAUGAAAGUGAACCAUCUUGGACAUUCCAGCUCAGUUGAACCCCAGAUAACUGCAGCCCCAAUCAGCAUCACAUGGAGCAGAAGUACCACCCAGCUAAGCCCAAUCAAAACAAAGAAUCACAAAAAUUAACAGUAUGGUUGGUGCUUUAAGCCAGUAAAUAUCAGGAGGCUUUCAUGCAGCAAUAGAUAACUAAAACAAAGUGUCAGUGUAUUUCCCAGUCCAUACUAGUCUGAAGGUAAAAAAAAAAUGGAUCACAAUUACAAUUUCAAAAUAGUAUUUUUGGCUGUAUUUUCACCUAUUUUGUGGGAACUUCAGUGUCCUCAUGUUCUUCCCACGUAAUUUCUCUAAGGAGUGUCUAGAAUGUAUGAUCUGGGAACCAAUCCUUUUGGCCACCAUGUAGCACUGCUGUUUUAAAAUUUUCACUCUGAUAACAUCUCUGCUCUGAGGUGAUGCCUGUUUUUCUCUGCUGACACUAAGGGUAGGAGCCUGCUCUGUCUCCCAAAGCACCACUUCUGUAAAUGGCCUCAAUGACUGUGCUAAGCUUGUCAAUGCCCCCAGAUGUGUAUUAAGGUGCCAUUUCCAUUACUCAUGAGGCUACUGGUGCCAUUAUAGCUGCUGCUGCUGCUCUGUUUGUAAGGUCCCAGGGGCAUUUUAGGAAACAGUUCAUUAUUGUAACUAGUGACAUAAGUGCCCAUAUCCUUAUACUUAAUAUAUGUUUUUUUCAAUUGAACUAAAGGGUUAAGUCAUACUCCUUGGAUUCUUUAUUAUUUUUUGGUGGGAGGAUUCAAAAGAUCUAAAUUAAGCAACUCUGCGCAGGUGUUGCUAAAGUUGAAACAUUUAGUUUACCAAGAAACUGACUAGACAAAUUGUUACCUAAGAGUAUCCAGCUGGGGAUGUUUCUCAAUCAGACUUUCCUCAGCAGGAAUUAAUGCUAUAUUUGGGUGAGCUAAAGUAUUUGACUUCCUUUCUAGUCUCUGAACAAUACAAGAAGAAGAUAAAAUAUUUUUUUCUCUAGACUUCAAGGAUAACCUUAAUGAUGUCCCAGCCUAACAAAUAGGAAAGAAGAAACAAAGAUUGAAAAAUCAGAGAACAGGUGCUGUGUCUCCCUCCAAGAUUAAAGUUGAAACAGAUGGAAGGUAUUUGAAGUAUAGGAUCAUUGGUUGAAAAUACAAGGAUAUAUACAAAUUCAGUGAGAUAGGAAGAUGGGUGAACAAGAGGGAAUACAUAAACACUGAGCAAGAGGAAAUCAGUAUGAUACCAUCAAUUGUCUUGUGAGAUUAUGUUGCAGAACAGCUUCAUUCCCUUGUAUGUGGUUUUGGAAGAUGGGAGAGAAGGAGAAUGUCUAUGUUUCUUGGGCUUCUAGGCAUCAAGAGAUUAAUGAGAAAAAGAAGGGACCAUUAUGCCUGAAACAGAACCCUCUUUGAUGUUCUCCUUUGAAAACCUAAGAGAAAUAAAAGCAGAAAAGGAUUCUACUGAUUACUACUUCCUACAGUAAUAUGGUGAUUGAACACUGAUUAAUCCUCCCCGACAUUGAUGCAUUUUCACUGUUAUGAAACAUCUUAGAAAAAUUGAAAAGUCAAAAAAAAUAGAUUCUUUCCUUGCUGUUUUAACUGAAAAUUAAAGUUUGGGGGCCCAUCUUCACAAAGUUAAAUGCUAAUAUUGGAGGAUUAUUGCUAAAUAUUUCUAAAAGUAAUUGUUUGAGUUCUUCUGAAUUAUAUUAAACUCAAUAAUUUUCAUAGUAGAGUAUGAAUAGAUCCUUGCUUAGUUAACUUGGCUCUUUUUCCUAAUAAUGAACAUCUGGUUAAAUUCUAAUAUACAAAUAUGAAGGAAUUCUAUUUUUUGGAGUUGCAGUUCUAGGAGUGCAUUUGACACUUGGAACUCUCUUUAACCUGCCAAAAGAUGGUCUGAUAACUUUCAAAUUUUGAGACUCACUUUGUCAGACACACUGGCAAGAGGCCUACAUUUAAGGAGUAGACCUUAUGGAAGUAGAGCCCCUUAGCCAAUUUGGAAGAUUUUAAAUUUUUGUUGGAACAAUGAAGUUUAUUUCUAAACUCUUUCACCACAUGUUAUAAAUAUUAACAAUGAAGGUAAUGUGGGUGGUGGAGAUCUUAUUUUUUUUUUUUUGGAAUGGGGAUUUCAAUAUUGGCUGAGAUGAUAAUAAAGUCAUUCACUGAGAAACAGAA